rnacentral:misc_RNA from 1 species
GCAGUUCUGAAGACAGCUUGCAGUGUAUGACAUAAUAAAAUUAUUCUGUUUUAUUUGCUGCUUCUGUGCUUCACAGUAUAGCUGGAACUAUGAUUCUUUUCUUUAUUUUAAUCAGAAAAUAGAUAUCUGUGAGAAGUUCCAUAACAUUAUAAUUAACAUGCAUUAGUUAUUCGAUAUAAGAGGCUAGAAAAGUUGCUACCUUAUUUUUUCUUAUCUUUGCUUGAUAAGGAAAUAUUGUUAGGUAUGAGACCAAUGACCUUUAUUCUACUUUUAAAGAUUCAGAUUCUUUGCAUAAUAUUAGUCAUCUGCUUGCUCCUUUAUUUGUUCUUAUUUAUUACAUUCCUUUUGUAUAAUUUUGCUAACUUUGUAAAUCUUUUCAGAGGGUACAAUAUGAGGAACUAGAGAACAUUCUUUUUUUGUCAUUUGCCAAGUGAAUUGAAUUCAUUAAUGGGAAACAUUUAUAAUGGAGAGAGGACAAGCAAGAGAGAUAGAUGAUGAAGAAGAAAGCUUUCUCUCCUGCAUGCCUUUGUCUGUUGUGGUCAUGACAGUAAUGAUACUGGCAACAAUUAGUACUUCUAGUGUCAACUAGUUUUCUCCAUGUGCAUUGCUUUUUCCUCUGUUCUUUCCCGUAUAUUGUAUUCGCUAUCUCUUGCAAAAACUGAAUUUAUUAUUAGAAGCACAUUGAAGAAGUCCAAUGAUUCUUCAUCCCAAAAUUUACUUGCUAUGAAUGCGGAGAUAUGUAAGCUCAUUUAUAAAGGUUUAUCAUUGAAGAUCAUAAAUACUCUGUAAGAAGCUAAUUGUACUAGGUUGUGUGCAUACAAAAUUCUAGGUGUUAUUUUUGGCUAAUUAGAUACUAAAACUCUUACAAAUAAUCAGUUAUGGAUCCCAAAUUGCAUGUAAUGUAGAUCUUCAUAGAUAGAGGAAAGAACCAGUGAAACCAUCUUAUAUGCUAUUACUUAUGUGUUGAGAAAGGUAAUACUUGCCUUUUAUGGGUGAUUGUAUAGAAGUUCUCAUAAAUCAGGUAUAGGUCUUAACAUUGUCUUUGAAGUAGCUUGAUAUCUGGAAAGAGUGCCAAUUUUGAUGUCAUUCUGGAAUUCAAACAUCUGAACUAAACAAGGUAAGACUCUGUUUGAUGUGCAUUGAAGUUAUCUUUUCCACCAUAAGGAGGAUGUGCAUGACCAACUAUUUUGAAAUGUGCCUGAAACAUUCUGCCUCAUAAAAAAAAAAAAGGAACAUAAAGAUGAUAGUGGAAUGCAUAUUUGCCUCAAAGUACGGCCAGGCAAAUUGUCUCCACCACGAAAUAUAUUCUUGAUCACAAAUUCUCAGCCAAUAUCUGAUAUGCGGCUAACCUAUUUUUUUGUACACCAGUAACUAAGGUUGAUAAAUCAGUUUAGAGAGGAAAAAAGAGAGAGGGGCGGAGAGAGAGAGAGAGAGAGAGUU